CAUGCGGUCCGGCGUCAGUGGGUUAUCAGUACAUGGCGAUUCCGCAAGGAAAAGCAAGUCCGCAAGGACACCCCGCCCGCAAGGGCACCCUUCCCAUUGGCAUCACUUGACCGUAAC
rfam:Oesophagostomum dentatum strain OD-Hann O_dentatum-1.0_Cont8186.3, whole genome shotgun sequence.